rnacentral:rRNA from 1 species
UAAAAAUUAAUUUUUUAUUUAUAGAUAUUGCAUAUCAAUUAAAAAAAAUUUUAUAAUUUAUAAAAUAUAAAAUUAAAAGGUAGAAAUUUUUAUAUUUUUAUUGUUUCAUAAUAAAAAUUAUAAAAUUUAGGGUUGAAAAGUCGACUUUUAGGAUAUUUGUGUAAUAAUAAUUUAUUAGAAAUUUAUAAUUUUAAGGUAAUAAUAAUAUAAAAAGUAUAAGUUGAAGUAUUUUUAUAGUUAGUUUUAUAACUAUUUAUGUGUUCAUUUUAUUAACAGUUUAAGGAAGGGUUAAAUUUAUUAAAAUGUGUAAUAAUUUUAUUAUUUUAAUAUAAGUAAUUUUAGAAAUUAUUUGUGAUUAUUUAAUUUAAUAAAAUAACUAAAUAAUUAAUCAAAUGUUUUUUAAAGACUUAGACUUUUAAGUAAAGUUUGCUUCUGCCCAAUGAAUAUUUUUAAAUGGCAGUCUUAGCGUGAGGACAUUAAGGUAGCAAAAUAAUUUGUGCUUUUAUUGAGUUCCAGUAUGAAUGAAGUUAUUGGUUAAUUAUCUUUUUAUUUUGUUUAUGAAUUUAAUUUAAUAUAAAAAAAUAUUGUUGUAAUAAUACAAAGAUAAGUCUUCGGAAAUUCUUUUUUAAAAUUGACAGAUUUUGUUAAUUUUAAAAAUUUUCUAGGGCAGAAUUUUAUAUAAUUGGUUAUUCUAUUAAUAAUUAUAAGAAUUACUCCGGAGUUAACAGAAAAUCAUACCUAAUCUAGUUCUUAUAGUAAGGUAAGUUUUACAUCGAUGUUGUAUUUAAGUUUAUUAAAAAGGGAGAAGAUUUAAUUUUUGAGACUGUUCUUCUUUUAAUUAAUUUAACGUGAUAUUAGUUUAAUUCAUUGUGAGAUAGAAUUGUUUAUCUUGAUUAUUAUUAAUUUGUAGUUUUAAUAGUACGAAAGGAAAAUUAAAAAAAGUUUUAAACUUUUAAAAGAAAAAUUUUUCUUAA